rnacentral:tRNA from 1 species
GGCCCGCUAAGCUCAGUCGGAAGAGCGCUCGCCCUGUUUGCGAUGUGUUCCGGGUUCGAGUCCCGGACUGGCCG